rnacentral:rRNA from 1 species
UAACUUGCGACCGCCGUACGGAAUGUGUACGUUCAGCUUGCCGUCGUGCCCCCGUUGGGACCACCGCUCACCGCUUGCCCACUCAUUAUGUAGCCUUGCACAGGACAUCACCCCCUAUCGGGCCGCUUUCGGCCUAAUUAUGGCGUAUGCGAGAUGCCUCCUUUCCCCCCCUAGAAUCCUGGAGGGCGAUGUCCCCGCCGGCUACCGUCUAAUCGAUCAACCACCCCAUUUCCGGAUGGUUCCGCUGCUAGACAUCGACCAGACUCUCCUGCUGGUCGGUGUGACCCUGACUCUGUGCCGGGUCUGAGGAUGCCCUCCGUCGUCACCCCUUAAAACCUGUUACCCCCGUUGGGACUAGGUCGUUACGGCGCACACACUUCUUCCGGAAGCCCAACAUUUCGUGAAAACAGGCCUUUCUUUUGCGGCACCANUUAUGGGCACCGCCUACUGCCAUGGCCNUCUUAUUCGUGGCCGAUUGAUGCACGGUCGUCGGCGCCAUUAUGCAUCCCACGUUCGCAAUUAGCCUUAAUGACCCGCAUUUCGCACGCGUCCGCCAGGCGAUUCUGUCUACACUUUAGGGGCCCGAAUUGGACCCUUGACGUAAACACUGACCGCCCGAUCUCAUACCGUCUCCCCCCAUCUUAAGGUGCACAUCGUCACUUUACGCAUCUCUACACCUCCUUAUGGCUACCGCUUCCGUCGGGGGACCCGGUUAUGACUGCGAGUACGUGCUUUCGCACCCCUCGUUUGUCCUAAUCUAUGGGACCAUCAGGUGCGGGAUUUGCUACAGUUGAUCAACAGCCCAGAAGUAACUGAACCAUUGCAUCGAUUGCGCACUUCAACUGGCGGACCCCUCAUGCCAGCGUUCUAAUUUUGAGUUUCCUUAACUGCCCCUGGGCGUGUUCGCCACCUACUACACCUAAUUAAGCUACGUUGCGCUUUUUGGANUGGUCCAGAACUGUAGGGCUACGAUAAAGAUCUCUGUCUUUCAAUGAAGCCAUGUAGCCACUGUCUCACCACGUACCAACAGACAGUCGAGGCACAGCACUCKWYAACCCAAUUCAGGGCGUUGCUCGCGUUGGGAAUGGGAGACAACGAUUGUCCACUUCGACUCGUGAGACUCCCUUGACGGCCACUGUUUGGCCUCCUUCCACCCCUACUGCAGUUCAGUAGUGCCGGGAAUACAGGUCCCGAUGUGUGCACGAUGUUACCGGCCAUGUUUCUCAACGCUAUGGCGCUCCACCUCGAUUAGAGUUUUUUGGCCAGAGUCAAGCCUAACAAGAGACGUUGAGCUCUCGUACUUCAACCUUAGCGAUCAUUAGCACCUAGUCGUGCGGUGCCACUUAUGCAAGGGCCCGGAACAUGUGUGGCGGGCAGUGUGGUAGACUCAACCGUCGUGGGCUUCACCGGCUAGAUUGGCGUUCCUCCUUCCAAUGAUUCCACUUCAGCCACUUCUCCCAC